CCUACGGGGGGCAGCAGUGAGGAAUAUUGGUCAAUGGGCUUACGCCUGAACCAGCCAAGUCGCGUGAGGGAAGACUGCCCUAUGGGUUGUAAACCUCUUUUGUCAGGGAGCAACGCCGGCUACGUGUAGCCGGACUGAGAGUACCUGAAGAAAAAGCAUCGGCUAACUCCGUGCCAGCAGCCGCGGUAAUACGAAGGAUCCGAGCGUUAUCCGGUUUUAUGGGUUUUAAAGGGUGCGGAGGCGGAAUGCCAAGUCAGCGGUAAAAUCGCGGGGCUCAACCCCGCUCCGCCGUUGAAACUGGCGUUCUUGAGUGGGCGAGAAGUAUGCGGAAUGCGUGGUGUAGCGGUGAAAUGCAUAGAUAUCACGCAGAACUCCGAUUGCGAAGGCAGCAUACCGGCGCCCAACUGACGCUGAAGCACGAAAGCGUGGGUAUCGAACAGGAUUAGAUACCCUAGUAGUC
rnacentral:rRNA from 1 species